rnacentral:rRNA from 1 species
UACGGAGGGCGCAACCGUAGCUCGGAAUCACUGGGCGUAAAGCGCGUGUAGGCGGCUUGGCACGUCGGGUGUGAAAUCCCGAGGCUCAACCUCGGAACUGCACUCGAAACUGCUUGGCUCGAGUCCCGGAGAGGGUGGCGGAAUUCCCGGUGUAGGGGUGAAAUCCGUAGAUAUCGGGAGGAACACCAGUGGCGAAGGCGGACACCUGGACGGUGACUGACGCUGAGACGCGAAAGCGUGGGGAGCAAACAGG